rnacentral:tRNA from 1 species
CCGGCCGUAGCUCAGCGGCAGAGCGCCCGGCUGUAGACCGGGUGGUCCGGGGUUCGAAUCCCCGCGGCCGGACCA